rnacentral:lncRNA from 1 species
UGCAGUCAUGGGAGAAUAAAUGUAGGACCCAGCCAUCCAUUCCUCCCUCAAUAUUUAUUGGGCACCCAUUAUGUGCCAGACACUGUGCUGGGUGCUGAAUCAAGACCCAAGGCUGGCCUUCAUGCUCACGGUCCAAGGAGGGGAGACCAGUUGUGAAAUGGGGUCAGUGUUAUGACCUGAGGAAGAACAGAUGCCUAAGGUACAGCAAGGGGGACCUCACCGCCAGGGCCCAGAAGCAUCUCCAACAAUGGCAAUGGCCAAAGCCUCUUCCAGUCUCUGCCAAAUUCCACCUGCAAGAAGCUCUCCAUGUCGUCUGAGUCCCCCAGGAGCUGCCCACCCAGCCACGACACUGAGGAGAAGGAGCAGGCAGAGGCAAACGAGGCUCGCGGUGGGUCGUGACUUGCGCACGGCCACACAGCUGCCGAGAACAAGACAGGGCGAACCAGGAAGUCAGACAGCAGGCUGUCUACGCAGAACCUCUUCAUCAGUAUGGCAUGCUGCCCUCUAACAUGCUGCCGACAACGUCUAGCUUCGUCUUAGCACACAGGAGGCCCAUGAAGCAACCUUCUCAUUAAUCUCUCCACUCUCUCGUCCAACAGGGAAAAGUGAGGCCCAUUUCAGGGAGUAGAGAGGUUUCAGAUGAUGACUGACAGAAUUUUAGAGUCAGCCUGGCCCGGGAGAAAUUGCAAAGUCUCUAGAGUCCGGCAGUCAUCCACACCUCAGCCCACCUACUUUCUGUGGGGGAGUCAGUUGUGAGGUCUUAAUAAGAGACCAAUGUAUGCAAAGCACCUGACACAUAGUAGGUAUUAAAUAAUAGCAAUAGCAAUAACCACAUUUAUACAGGGCUGUUGAUGUGCCAGGCAGCAUUCUGAGCCCAUCCUUAAUGUUAACUCCUAAUCCUCACAUUGACUCUAAGAGGCAAUAGCAAUAUUCUCCCAUUCGACAGAUGAGGAAACUGAGGCACAAAAAUGAUUAAGAAACUUGCAUAGUGUCACACAGUAGGGGGUGGGGUGGCUAGGAUUUGAACCCUAACCCAGAGACAGGGCCCUAAACCAGUGUAUUAUAUUGCGCCCUUUUGCAAGCUGUUCCCCAGCCCUCACCCCCCCGUAAAACAGAACUAUAGUCACGCGCCGCAGAAGGAUACUUCAGUCAAUGGCAGACCACACGGACAACGGUGGUCCUCUAAUAUCAGUACCAUGCAAGCUGGUGUGCAGUGGGCUACACCAUCUAGGUUUGUGACUGACCCUACAUCAGAGCUCCAAACAUCAAAACCAAGUGUAAAGAAAGCCUGGGGGACCCUCUCCAGGGCAGCACGAUGCGUUGGAAAGAGGCCUGGCCUGGACCUGUCCCAGCUCAGCCUGCCACUUGCCGUGUAACUGGGCAAGGCCCCGCUCUACCUGUAAAUAUGACAGCACUAAUAAUAACAGUAGCGAAGGCUUCUGCAGCUCUUGCUAUGUGCUAGGCACUGUUCCAAGGGCUUUCAUAUUUUAACUCAUUAAAUAAAAUAAAUAAAAG